CCUACGGGCGGCAGCAGUGGGGAAUAUUGCGCAAUGGGCGAAAGCCUGACGCAGCGACGCCGCGUGAGGGAUGAAGGUCUUCGGAUCGUAAACCUCUGUCAGCAGGGAAGAACGGUCACUGUGCUAAUCAGCAGUGAAUUGACGGUACCUGCAAAGGAAGCACCGGCUAACUUCGUGCCAGCAGCCGCGGGAAUACGGAGGGUGCGAGCGUUAAUCGGAAUUACUGGGCGUAAAGCGCUCGUAGGCGGGAGGUCAAGUCAAGGGUGAAAUCUCCGUGCUCAACGUGGGAACUGCCUUUGAAACUGGCAAGCUGGAGUGUAUGAGAGGGAAGUGGAAUUCCAGGUGUAGGGGUGAAAUCCGUAGAUAUCAGGAGGAACAUCAGUGGCGAAGGCGACUAUCUGGCACAUAACUGACGCUGAGGAGCGAAAGCGUGGGGAGCAAACAGGAUUAGAUACCCCGGUAGUC
rnacentral:rRNA from 1 species